rnacentral:rRNA from 1 species
ACACUCCUGCGGGAGGCAGCAGUGGGGAAUUUUGGACAAUGGGCGAAAGCCUGAUCCAGCAAUGCCGCGUGCAGGAUGAAGGCCUUCGGGUUGUAAACUGCUUUUGUACGAAACGAAAAAGCUCCUUCUAAUACAGGGGGCCCAUGACGGUACCGUAAGAAUAAGCACCGGCUAACUACGUGCCAGCAGCCGCGGUAAUACGUAGGGUGCGAGCGUUAAUCGGAAUUACUGGGCGUAAAGCGUGCGCAGGCGGUUAUGUAAGACAGAUGUGAAAUCCCCGGGCUCAACCUGGGAACUGCAUUUGUGACUGCAUGGCUAGAGUACGGUAGAGGGGGAUGGAAUUCCGCGUGUAGCAGUGAAAUGCGUAGAUAUGCGGAGGAACACCGAUGGCGAAGGCAAUCCCCUGGACCUGUACUGACGCUCAUGCACGAAAGCGUGGGGAGCAAACAGGAUUAGAUACCCCUGUAGUCCCA